UAAAGAUUCAUCGCUGAUAGAUAGGCAUGCGUUCCAUUAGGCAGUUGGCGGGGUAACGGCCCACCAAACCGACGAUGGAUAGGGGUUCUGAGAGGAAGGUCCCCCACAUUGGUACUGAGACACGGACCAAACUCCUACGGGAGGCAGCAGUGAGGAAUAUUGGUCAAUGGGCGUAAGCCUGAACCAGCCAAGUCGCGUGAGGGAUGAAGGUUCUAUGGAUCGUAAACCUCUUUUAUAAGGGAAUAAAGUGCGGGACGUGUCCCGUUUUGUAUGUACCUUAUGAAUAAGGAUCGGCUAACUCCGUGCCAGCAGCCGCGGUAAUACGGAGGAUCCGAGCGUUAUCCGGAUUUAUUGGGUUUAAAGGGUGCGUAGGCGGCCUUUUAAGUCAGCGGUGAAAGUCUGUGGCUCAACCAUAGAAUUGCCGUUGAAACUGGGAGGCUUGAGUAUGUUUGAGGCAGGCGGAAUGCGUGGUGUAGCGGUGAAAUGCUUAGAUAUCACGCAGAACCCCGAUUGCGAAGGCAGCCUGCCAAGCCAUGACUGACGCUGAUGCACGAAAGCGUGGGGAUCAAACAGGAUUAGAUACCCUGGUAGUCCACGCAGUAAACG
rnacentral:rRNA from 1 species